GUCUCAGUGGCGUAGUGGUUAACGCACGAUAGCCAUUUGGGCGCGGGACGCAGGUUCGAAUCCCAUCUGAGAUG
rnacentral:tRNA from 1 species